rnacentral:rRNA from 1 species
UACGGAGGGGGCGAGCGUUGUUCGGAAUCACUGGGCGUAAAGCGUACGUAGGCUGUCUUGUAAGUCAGGAGUGAAAUCCCAGGGCUUAACCCUGGAAUUGCUUUUGAGACUGCAGGACUGGAGUCCGGGAUAGGCUAGUGGAAUACCCAGUGUAGAGGUGAAAUUCGCAGAUAUUGGGUGGAACACCAGUGGCGAAGGCGACUAGCUGGACCGGUACUGACGCUGAGGUACGAAAGCGUGGGGAGCAAACAGG